rnacentral:tRNA from 1 species
ACUCCAAAGCUCAGUGAUUAGAGCGCCAGUCUAGUAAACUGAAGCUCGUGAGUUCAAUACCCACUGGAAGUU